rnacentral:rRNA from 1 species
GGAAUCGUGCGCAAUGGACGCAAGUCUGACGCCGCGACGCCGCGUGGAGGAUGAAGGCCUUCGGGUCGUAAACUCCUUUUGCCAUAUCAGAGAUGAUAUGGAGAAUAAGCACCCGCUAACUUCGUGCCAGCAGCUGCGGUAAUACGGAGGGUGCAAGCGUUGUCCGGAUUUACUGGGCGUAAAGCGUUUCGCAGGUCGUUGUGUAAGUCGUGCUUCAAAGCCUGGGGCUUAACCCCAGACAGGGGUGCGA